rnacentral:rRNA from 1 species
UUUAUGGAGAGUUUGAUCCUGGCUCAGGAUGAACGCUGGCGGCGUGCCUAAUACAUGCAAGUCGAGCGAACAGAUAAGGAGCUUGCUCCUUUGACGUUAGCGGCGGACGGGUGAGUAACACGUGGAUAACCUACCUAUAAGACUGGGAUAACUUCGGGAAACCGGAGCUAAUACC